CUGUGUUUCUCCUUUCCAAUCACCCCACCACUUGCCCGCUUGAUCCUGUCCCAUCUCACCUUAUCAAAUCUCUCUCCCCUUGUCUUGUGCCAUCCUUCAACUGCUCUCUCUCUUCUGGCAUUGUCCCUGCUGACCUUAAACAUGCCAAUGCAGUACCAAUCCUGAAAAAAAAAAUCUCUCGACCCGUCCUCCCCUUCAUACUAUCGUCCUAAAUCCCUGCUUCCAUUUUCCUCAAAGCU